UGGGAUUAAAAUGCAGAACGGAACGAAUAUGAGGUUUAAAACUUAAUGUAAAACCCAUAUCCGUUCCGUUCUGCAUUUUAACCCCAUAUUCGUUUUG